AAUUUUGUUUCUCUUUUUAUUUGUAUUUUUUUGUGAUUUUUUGCCAACAAUGUUUGUUAGUUUUGCUCGCCCCGCUCGAUGGCAGGCGACUCUGUGAAAUCACUUACUGGUUUUUAUGAGACCAGCCAGCAGCAGGAACAACAACAACAACAACAACAAGCGCCUUAUGAACAACUGUAAAUUUGUUGGCAGCACGUUACUCAUUUAGCCGCUUCGCACCUUUUUUUACCAGUAAUCCUCCACUUAAGGAGUACUCGAAAAAAUGGUGAGAUCAAGUUGAAAACUAUGUAGAUAUUCAACAUAUUUGAGUUUAUUUAGGCAGUAAUAAGGCCUAGUUGGGUCUUCAAUUAAGAGAAAUUUAACACGUAUUUAAAUAACUCGCAUAAAUACGUAAAAUAUUUCAAGUUAAAUAGUGUUUAAGUAACUUCCAACGAUUUCUGCCCAAUGAAACAGCAUUGAGACGUCACCCGAUCACUCUCGAGUCUUAGGAGACCUUAUUGACUAUAUAAACUAUGUGCGCACAUAGAGAUAUUUCUAUAAUUACUAAACAAAUGCCAAUGUCAGGCCAAUGCAACGACGACGACGACGACUGCAG